rnacentral:rRNA from 1 species
UACAGAGGGGGCAAGCGUUAUUCGGAAUUAUUGGGCGUAAAGGGCGCGUAGGCGGCCUGGCAAGUGGAAGGUGAAAUCCCUCGGCUUAACCGAGGAACUGCCCUCCAAACUGCUUGGCUUGAGUCCGGGAGAGGUGAGUGGAAUUCCCAGUGUAGCGGUGAAAUGCGUAGAGAUUAGGAAGAACACCAGUGGCGAAGGCGACUUACUGGACUGUAACUGACGCUGAGGCAUGAAAGCGUGGGGAGCAAACAGG